rnacentral:rRNA from 1 species
CAUAGCCCUUAGAAUAGAUUAAAGGUGCAACCUGCCCUAUGGUUUUUAAAUAAGUUAAUAAAUUAAUAAUAAACUAAAACUAAAUGGCCGCGGUAACUCUGACCGUGAUAAUGUAGCGAAAUCAAUCGUCGUUUAAUUGACGACCAGUAUGAAUGGUUAAACGAAUUUUCCACUGUCUCAAAUAUAAAGUCACUUAAAUUCAAAUAAUAGUGAAGAUGCUAUUUAAAAACUAUAAGACGAGAAGACCCUAUAGAGCUUAACUAUAAUCUACUUAAAUUACUCGAUUAAAUAUCGAAACAAAGGUAGGCUGGUAGUUUGGUUGGGGCGACCGUUUUCUAAAAGUAACGAAAACAAGCAAUGGUGAAUAAUGAAAGUUGACUUAAUUGUUUAAUACAUAAAUUUAACAAAUACUAAAGUAGGACAUAAUGACCCGUUGAUUUUUUAAAAUAAAAACAACGAUAAAUAAAUAAAAGCUACCUUAGGGAUAACAGCGUAAUCUUGUUUUAGAGUUCCUAUCGACGACAAGGUUUGCGACCUCGAUGUUGAAUUGCGAUAACCUGAGGGUGUAGAAGUUCUCAAGGGUUGGUCUGUUCGACCAUUAAAAUCUUACAUGAU